AUUGAACGCUGGCGGCAGGCCUAACACAUGCCAGUCGAACGGUAACAGGAAGCAGCUUGCUGCUUCGCUGACGAGUGGCGGACGGGUGAGUAAUGUCUGGGAAACUGCCUGAUGGAGGGGGAUAACUACUGGAAACGGUAGCUAAUACCGCAUAACGUCGCAAGACCAAAGAGGGGGACCUUAGGGCCUCUUGCCAUCGGAUGUGCCCAGAUGGGAUUAGCUAGUAGGUGGGGUAACGGCUCACCUAGGCGACGAUCCCUAGCUGGUCUGAGAGGAUGACCAGCCACACUGGAACUGAGACACGGUCCAGACUCCUACGGGAGGCAGCAGUGGGGAAUAUUGCACAAUGGGCGCAAGCCUGAUGCAGCCACGCCGCGUGUAUGAAGAAGGCCUUCGGGUUGUAAAGUACUUUCAGCGGGGAGGAAGGGAGUAAAGUUAAUACCUUUGCUCAUUGACGUUACCCGCAGAAGAAGCACCGGCUAACUCCGUG
rnacentral:rRNA from 1 species